GUGCAGCAGUCGCGAAAACUCCGCAAUGCGCGAAAGCGUGACGGGGUCACCCCGAGUGCCGUCCGCUGAGGAUGGCUUUUGCCUGGUCUAACCAGCCGGGUGAAUAAGGGGAGGGCAAGUCUGGUGUCAGCCGCCGCGGUAAUACCAGCUCCCCGAGUGGUUGGGACGAUUAUUGGGUCUGAAGCGUCCGUAGCCGGCCGGAAAAGUUCCCCGUUAAAUCUGGCGAUCCAAUCGUUGGGCUGCGGGGAAUACUCUUCGGCUUGGGGGCGAGGGAGGUCGGCGGUAGUCCCGGGGUAGGGGCGAAAUCCUCUGAUCCCAGGAGGACCACCAGUGGCGAAGGCGGGCGACCAGAACGCGCUCGACGGUGAGGGACGAAAGCUGGGGGAGCGAACCGGAUUAGAUUUGGAAAGGAGAAAUAGCCUUCCACUGAAGACCCGGGUAGUCC
rnacentral:rRNA from 1 species